GGCCUCGGCGAGUAGCUGGAGCUGCUGCCCGCCUGCAAAGCGGGUCUCGUCGCGCGGUUCGAUUCCGCCCGGGGCUU
rnacentral:tRNA from 1 species